AGACGGCGGGGUAAGGGCCCACCGUGGCGAUGAUGGGUAGCCGGCCUGAGAGGGUGUACGGCCACAUUGGAACUGAGACACGGUCCAGACUCCUACGGGAGGCAGCAGCUAAGAAUCUUCCGCAAUGGGCGAAAGCCUGACGGAGCGACGCCGCGUGAACGAAGAAGGCCGUGAGGUUGUAAAGUUCUUUUCGGGAGGGGGAACGAGCCUGCCAGGCAAUGGGCGGGCGCUGACGUGAAUCCCGGAAUAAGCCCCGGCUAACUACGUGCCAGCAGCCGCGGUAACACGUAGGGGGCGAACGUUGUUCGGAAUCAUUGGGCGUAAAGGGCGUGCAGGCGGCCGCCAAAGUCCGGCGUGAAAGACCCAGGCUCAACCUGGGGGGUGCGCCGGAUACUGGGCGGCUUGAGUACAGGAGGGGACGGCGGAAUUCCAGGUGUAGGGGUGAAAUCUGUAGAUAUCUGGAGGAACACCGAUGGCGAAGGCAGCCGUCUGGCCAUGUACUGACGCUGAGGCGCGAAGGUGCGGGGAGCAAACAGGUUUAGAUACCCUGGUAGUCCGCACAGUAAACGAUGUGCACCAGGCGGCGGGGGCAAC
rnacentral:rRNA from 1 species